rnacentral:rRNA from 1 species
GACGAACGCUGGCGGCGUGCCUAAUACAUGCAAGUAGAACGCUGAAGAGAGGAGCUUGCUCUUCUUGGAUGAGUUGCGAACGGGUGAGUAACGCGUAGGUAACCUGCCUUGUAGCGGGGGAUAACUAUUGGAAACGAUAGCUAAUACCGCAUAACAAUGGAUGACCCAUGUCAUUUAUUUGAAAGGGGCAAAUGCUCCACUACAAGAUGGACCUGCGUUGUAUUAGCUAGUAGGUGAGGUAACGGCUCACCUAGGCGACGAUACAUAGCCGACCUGAGAGGGUGAUCGGCCACACUGGGACUGAGACACGGCCCAGACUCCUACGGGAGGCAGCAGUAGGGAAUCUUCGGCAAUGGGGGCAACCCUGACCGAGCAACGCCGCGUGAGUGAAGAAGGUUUUCGGAUCGUAAAGCUCUGUUGUAAGUCAAGAACGAGUGUGAGAGUGGAAAGUUCACACUGUGACGGUAGCUUACCAGAAAGGGACGGCUAACUACGUGCCAGCAGCCGCGGUAAUACGUAGGUCCCGAGCGUUGUCCGGAUUUAUUGGGCGUAAAGCGAGCGCAGGCGGUUUGAUAAGUCUGAAGUUAAAGGCUGUGGCUCAACCAUAGUUCGCUUUGGAAACUGUCAAACUUGAGUGCAGAAGGGGAGAGUGGAAUUCCAUGUGUAGCGGUGAAAUGCGUAGAUAUAUGGAGGAACACCGGUGGCGAAAGCGGCUCUCUGGUCUGUAACUGACGCUGAGGCUCGAAAGCGUGGGGAGCGAACAGGAUUAGAUACCCUGGUAGUCCACGCCGUAAACGAUGAGUGCUAGGUGUUGGAUCCUUUCCGGGAUUCAGUGCCGCAGCUAACGCAUUAAGCACUCCGCCUGGGGAGUACGACCGCAAGGUUGAAACUCAAAGGAAUUGACGGGGGCCCGCACAAGCGGUGGAGCAUGUGGUUUAAUUCGAAGCAACGCGAAGAACCUUACCAGGUCUUGACAUCCCGAUGCUAUUUCUAGAGAUAGAAAGUUACUUCGGUACAUCGGUGACAGGUGGUGCAUGGUUGUCGUCAGCUCGUGUCGUGAGAUGUUGGGUUAAGUCCCGCAACGAGCGCAACCCCUAUUGUUAGUUGCCAUCAUUCAGUUGGGCACUCUAGCGAGACUGCCGGUAAUAAACCGGAGGAAGGCGGGGAUGACGUCAAAUCAUCAUGCCCCUUAUGACCUGGGCUACACACGUGCUACAAUGGUUGGUACAACGAGUUGCGAGUCGGUGACGGCAAGCUAAUCUCUUAAAGCCAAUCUCAGUUCGGAUUGUAGGCUGCAACUCGCCUACAUGAAGUCGGAAUCGCUAGUAAUCGCGGAUCAGCACGCCGCGGUGAAUACGUUCCCGGGCCU